UGAUGGCGACCGGCAAACGGGUGCUGGAACACGUACGCAACCUUCCUUCAAGCGGGGAAUAGCCCAGAGAAAUUUGGAUUAAUACCCCAUAAGAAUGUGGACUGGCAUCAGUCAGCAUUUAAAGAUUUAUCACUUGAAGAUGGGCGUGCGUCUGAUUAGAUAGUUGGUGAGGUAACGGCUCACCAAGUCAACGAUCAGUAACUGGCGUGAGAGCGCGAUCAGUCACACGGGCACUGAGACACGGGCCCGACUCCUACGGGAGGCAGCAGUAAGGAAUAUUGGUCAAUGGACGGAAGUCUGAACCAGCCAUGCCGCGUGGAGGAUGAAGGCCCUCUGGGUUGUAAACUUCUUUUAUUUGGGACGAAACACUCUUUUUCUAAAGAGCUUGACGGUACCAGAUGAAUAAGCACCGGCUAACUCCGUGCCAGCAGCCGCGGUAAUACGGAGGGUGCAAGCGUUAUCCGGAUUCACUGGGUUUAAAGGGUGCGUAGGCGGAUUUGUAAGUCCGUGGUGAAAUCUCUAAGCUUAACUUGGAAAUUGCCGUGGAUACUAUAAGUCUUGAAUAUUGUGGAGGUUAGCGGAAUAUGUCAUGUAGCGGUGAAAUGCAUAGAUAUGACAUAGAACACCAAUUGCGAAGGCAGCUGGCUACACAACUAUUGACGCUGAGGCACGAAAGCGUGGGGAUCAAACAGGAUUAGAUACCCUGGUAGUCCACGCCCUAAACGAUGAUUACUCGACAUUUGCGAUACACAGCAAGUGUCUGAGCGA
rnacentral:rRNA from 1 species